UUUCAGAACUUGAAGCCCACAUAAGAACUGGUAUGCUGCAUGUGACUUUUCUCAUGCUGUAACCAAAACAGGAGACUUCAUGAUCUUGCGAGGCUUGUGAGUUCGAUCCACCAUUCCUGGUGGAGGAGAAGAGUAUAUUUCUUUCCACAGCUGGUCAUGAUGAGAACUACUAGAUGUUAAGCACUGAAGUAAGACACCAAUAUCAAUCUGUUCUCAGGGCGAACAUAUUCUGCAUUCAACUCGAUCAUUCAUAAUUAAUCGGUUCAUAGUAAUUCAUUGGAAAGGUACAAAAAAAAAACUUACUGAGUCUUCUUCGACACAGAUAUCAUCUGAUCGAGCGACCCUCGACAAAACUUUGAUUCAUAUAAUGAAUGCAGAUGCAAAAGUCCUUUGUUCUCCCAACCUCUGAUACUACACCACCAGAUACAAUAUUGUGCCUGCUCUGCAGAGUACAAGCCAUGUGAUUGAUGUUCAAUAUUAAUGGUUUUUGUCUGCUACUGUAAAUUCUGUAUCCACUCUCAAACCAAUAAACCUUCCAUGAUCCAGCAACUAUAUAUUCUAUAUUCUUCUGGCUUUUGGCCAUUCAUCUCCCAUAUCUUAUAGACAAGGAGGUCAUUGGAUCUCUCUCCUCUCUGUUUGCAUCUAUGAAAAUCCA
rnacentral:lncRNA from 1 species